AAGUGGUAGGAGAGCGUUCUAUUUGCGUCGAAGGUAUACCGGUAAGGAGUGCUGGAGCGAAUAGAAGUGAGCAUGCAGGCAUGAGUAGCGAUAAUUAAUGUGAGAAUCAUUAACGCCGUAAACCCAAGGUUUCCUACGCGAUGCUCGUCAUCGUAGGGUUAGUCGGGUCCUAAGUCGAGUCCGAAAGGGGUAGACGAUGGCAAAUUGGUUAAUAUUCCAAUACCAACAUUAGUGUGCGAUGGAAGGACGCUUAGGGCUAAGGGGGCUAGCGGAUGGAAGUGCUAGUCUAAGGUUGUAGGAGGUUAUACAGGCAAAUCCGUAUAACAAUACUCCGAGAACUGAAAGGCUUUUUGAAGUCUUCGGAUGGAUAGAAGAACCCCUGAUGCCGUCGAGCCAAGAAAAGUUUCUAAGUUUAGCUAAUGUUGCCCGUACCGUAAACCGACACAGGUGGGUGGGAUGAGUAUUCUAAGGCGCGUGGAAGAACUCUCUUUAAGGAACUCUGCAAAAUAGCACCGUAUCUUCGGUAUAAGGUGUGGUUAGCUUCGUACUAGGAUUUGACUUCGAAAGCGAAGAAACUUACAACAAAGAGUCCCUCCCGACUGUUUACCAAAAACACAGCACUCUGCUAACUCGUAAGAGGAUGUAUAGGGUGUGACGCCUGCCCGGUGCUCGAAGGUUAAUUGAUGGGGUUAGCAUUAGCGAAGCUCUUGAUCGAAGCCCGAGUAAACGGCGGCCGUAACUAUAACGGUCCUAAGGUAGCGAAAUUCCUUGUCGGUUAAAUACCGACCUGCAUGAAUGGCGUAACGAGAUGGGAGCUGUCUCAAAGAGGGAUCCAGUGAAAUUGUAGUGGAGGUGAAAAUUCCUCCUACCCGCGGCAAGACGGAAAGACCCCGUGGACCUU
rnacentral:rRNA from 1 species